rnacentral:rRNA from 1 species
UACGGGGGGGGCAAGCGUUGUUCGGAAUUACUGGGCGUAAAGGGCUCGUAGGCGGCCAACUAAGUCGGACGUGAAAUCCCUCGGCUCAACCGGGGAACUGCGUCCGAUACUGGAUGGCUUGAGUUCGGGAGAGGGAUGCGGAAUUCCAGGUGUAGCGGUGAAAUGCGUAGAUAUCUGGAGGAACACCGGUGGCGAAGGCGGCAUCCUGGACCGACACUGACGCUGAGGAGCGAAAGCGUGGGUAGCAAACAGG